CCACCUCUGGGCCACCCACCCGUGGGGGGACUUCUGUGUGGGAGAGGGGCACCACCCCCACUGCCCUUGAAGCCACAGGGGACUCGGGAGUCAGAGUUUGGGGUGCUCCAUUCAAGACUGGUGGGGGCAGGCUCUGCCAGGAGUCAACGUGGGGAUCCCAGGAGAGGGGUGAGCGUCCCCCAUUGCCAACUGCGUCCACAGCCCAUUCUUGUUCCUAGCCACCCUCCCAUCCCCCACCAGUCCCCAUAUUCUCUCCAGCCCCUACCAACCUCAUAAUCCCAAUUCUUCAACCCAACACACACUCUCAUCCACGCAGCAUCCAGUUUCACCCCGUCACACCAAGAGUCCGGAUGUGACGCUACGGGCUUGCACAUGGGGCGGGGGUGUUAGAGAGAACUGCGGUUCUUGGUAGGACCAGCAGCUUGGGAUUCGCUGAGAAGCUCGAAAGGCUCUGUUAGGAAGAAAGCAUCCGGUUCCAGCCAGUCACACCCAGGUGCCCGGAUGUGACGCCACUGACUUGCGCGUGGGGGGCGGGUUAGAGAGAAGCGCGGUUCUAGGUCAGACCAGCAGCUCGGGAUUGACGGAGGGAAGCGGGCAAGGCUCUGUUAGGAGGUUCCCCCUUCUCCAACUGGGAGGGCCAGGUUCCUUGGAGGCACAGGGGAGCACCAAGGAGAUCGGUUUGUGGGUCUUCAUUGCCCAGCUCCUGCCCACACUCCCACCUACUGUUC
rnacentral:lncRNA from 13 species